rnacentral:rRNA from 1 species
GACGAACGCUGGCGGCGUGCUUAACACAUGCAAGUCGAACGGAAAGGCCCUGCUUUUGUGGGGUGCUCGAGUGGCGAACGGGUGAGUAACACGUGAGUAACCUGCCCUUGACUUUGGGAUAACUUCAGGAAACUGGGGCUAAUACCGGAUAGGAGCUCCUGCUGCAUGGUGGGGGUUGGAAAGUUUCGGCGGUUGGGGAUGGACUCGCGGCUUAUCAGCUUGUUGGUGGGGUAGUGGCUUACCAAGGCUUUGACGGGUAGCCGGCCUGAGAGGGUGACCGGCCACAUUGGGACUGAGAGACGGCCCAGACUCCUACGGGAGGCAGCAGUGGGGAAUAUUGCACAAUGGGCGGAAGCCUGAUGCAGAAACGCCGCGUGCGGGAUGACGGCCUUCGGGUUGUAAACCGCUUUCGCCUGUGACGAAGCGUGAGUGACGGUAAUUGGUAAAGAAGCACCGGCUAACUACGUG